GGCCUCAAGAACGGGGUAUCGAUUGGACUGUCGAUCCGGUGGUUGAGGGUUCGAAUCCCUUCGGCCU
rnacentral:tRNA from 1 species